CAGAAAUGUCCCGUACCAGCGUGUGACGGCACGAAUGCAAGUUGAGCACCUCAAUAAUGUCAUCCAGCUGGGAAUAUGAUUGAAGCGUACUUGUGCCUGUGGGCAGCUUCAAAUCGGCGGAAACACGCAGCGUUUCCUGGACCGUGAGCAGCGAUAGCAUCACAAAGUUCUGGGCUAUAUACGACGACAUUUUGCGAAAUGCGAGCAGAUCGCGCGGCUGUCCAUUGAUGAGAAACUGACCCGUAACGCCGCUGACUCUAUUUGGGCAAACUGAUCAGCAAAUUGAGGCAAAAAGAGUUUCUCGUGAUGCACUCACUUGAAGCCGGCCAGAACGUUUAGGAGCGUGGACUUGCCGGCACCGGAUGGACCCAGUAUGGCCGUUAGGCGACCCGCUUGAAAGGCGCCGCAGGUCUCGUUCAGUAUUUGGCUCUUGGAUUGCUUUGGACCCUUGAGCUUGUAGCACACCUGCCGGAACAGUAGCUCCAAAGGCGGGGUUUUGCCCAGGCCAUUUGGCACGCUUGCCGCAAUAUUGUCGACCAUUGUUGCCUAUUUGAUAUUGACCAGAUCUUGCCCUGGCUGCGGGCAAUGCUCGAAUGUCGACUGCGUUGGCUCUGGCCUCAAUUUGCGAUAUGCCAACUGAGCUUAUCGGCUGGUACUCUCUGUUGAUUGUGGAGUUCAAGUGCUUGCAGUUAUUAUCAACAUCGUAACUGACUCAACCGUCUAAUCCGUGUUAGUCUAAGGCACAAAAUUGCAAUCUUAUCUUUGCCAGCUGUAAAGCUGCUGCCUUUGUCCCAGUCAAAGCAAUCAAAAUGCUUACAUCUCUACAUAUAGUUAAAUUUUUUUCCUGGCUGAUUGUUUGACUAAUUGAUUGAUCAUGAACAGCUCAAACCGUUAAGCUGAGAAGCUUAGGUUAUAUACAUGAAUACGAUAAAGAGAUUGUGUACCUGAUAUUCCUGACGGAUUGAUUGAUUGAUUGACUUAUGAUCAACGCACAGCACAGACUCGGAAAAGUUCACAACUGAUUGAUUGAUUGACUUAUGAUCGACGCACAUAUUGAGAAAGAUUUUUCAUACGUAUCUCUCUACAGAUAAAAUUGAUUUUCGGAUUGAUUGAUUGACUGUAUGGCUUAAAAUCAACACACAGAUGGUUAUUUGAAUGAAAACCAAAAGAUAUAAAGCAUAUAAAGAUGUUUUUCCUGAUUGAUUGACUGACUGAAGAUUAGCGCAUAGCUCAAACCCUUAAAGCUGGACAUCUAAAUUUUUCACAUCUGAUUGAUUGAUAGAAAACCCAACUGAUGAUUAACGUACAGCUUUAACGCCAGCAUAAACCCUGACAACUGAACAGCUGAAUGUUUUCACAGUAAAUACACACACACACACACACACACACGCCCAACUGUUAUGCAAAUAUUCAAAUCGUUUGCGUGAAACCCAUAAAAAAUUAUUUAAAAAAAAAAAACGACAAAGGCAAAUGACGACCCGAACGAUCCCCAUCAACUGAUCAUGUAACCCAAUUCUCUUGUUCUUUCGCAAUUUGUGGUAAGUACUAUAUAAAGUUAUUUAUAUAUAUAUGUAGAUGCUUUAACAUUUUCACUUUAAAUUUAUUUAAUUGAUCAUAAGUAAGAAUAAGGCAGCGACCUUUCGUAUUGACCCUUGCACACGGAGCACAACUUUGAUUUGCUCAAUUGGAAACGUGUCCCAACUUUUUGGCAUAUUAUUUUUAUUUUAUGUUCUCUAAUUUAUUUUCUAUAGAACUAAAUCGUUUAGCUGACAUUACUCAUCAUUAUCAGCUUUUAAGGCUUGUUUUUUCUUUGUUUUUCUAUGUAUUCAUUUGAUUCCCAGCGACUACGUAGAUAAGUCCCGCACAUAAUAUAUGUGUAGAUAUUUUCUUUGUGAAUCUAAAUUAACUAGCUAGUACGAAGUACAAAUAUUAACAGCUGUGCCUAUGCGUAUACCUUCCAGAUGAUAAUCAAUUGAGUUGUAUUGGAAUAAUCAGCCUAAAUAUUUAUAUCUUUAGGCAUUCAUAGAGUGAGGAUUAAGUUUGACUCUUCUCUUCAUCCGCUCUAUUAAAUUUUUGGCUCGCUAAUUGCGCAAAUUAGGUAAAUUAAAAUGAUAUAUUUUCUGGGUUCGGGCUCGCAAAGUACUUUUAUUAUAUAUUAGAUAUGCAUUAUUUGUAAUUGGACAUCAGCUGGGCAUUAGGAUUUUGAUAGAUUCAAAUUACAUUAGCAUUAAGAAAAGGUUUAGAAUUUAUAGAAAAUAGUUUCAUAAAUCAAAAAUUUAUAAAAUC